GCAAAGCUUAUAAACAGCUGAUUUUAGGAAAAGAUCUGGCAGACUUACUAGACGCAGGAUACGACUUUGGAAACACUCCACCAGAAAGAGAAGAAGGAAACAACGGAGACGUAGAAGAAGGAAACGAUGGAAACCUAGAAGAAGGAAACAAUGUGGAAAUGCCCAGACAGGACCAGCCUGACCCAGAAGAGCCAAGAGACGAACAGCUGUGAAAAGCGUGGAACAACAAGGCCUUGCCGACCUAAAGUUAGAAUAAAUAAAGCAAAUACACAUUGAAUUUAAACUCAUCCACCCCCCAAACCCAGCAAUUUUUAAUACUGCUUUGGUUUUGCUUUAAUUUGCAGCGUGUUGCGACACGCGCAAAGGUUCGGAAAUAAAAUGGUUUUAAUUAAAAUAAUAAUAAAUCUU